GCAUCAUGAUUUACAUUUGAGUGAGUGGCGAACUGGUGAGUAACACGUGGGAAACCUGCCCAGAAGCGGGGGAUAACACCUGGAAACAGAUGCUAAUACCGCAUAACAACUUGGACCGCAUGGUCCGAGUUUGAAAGAUGGCUUCGGCUAUCACUUUUGGAUGGUCCCGCGGCGUAUUAGCUAGAUGGUGGGGUAACGGCUCACCAUGGCAAUGAUACGUAGCCGACCUGAGAGGGUAAUCGGCCACAUUGGGACUGAGACACGGCCCAAACUCCUACGGGAGGCAGCAGUAGGGAAUCUUCCACAAUGGACGAAAGUCUGAUGGAGCAACGCCGCGUGAGUGAAGAAGGGUUUCGGCUCGUAAAACUCUGUUGUUAAAGAAGAACAUAUCUGAGAGUAACUGUUCAGGUAUUGACGGUAUUUAACCAGAAAGCCACGGCUAACUACGUGCCAGCAGCCGCGGUAAUACGUAGGUGGCAAGCGUUGUCCGGAUUUAUUGGGCGUAAAGCGAGCGCAGGCGGUUUUUUAAGUCUGAUGUGAAAGCCUUCGGCUCAACCGAAGAAGUGCAUCGGAAACUGGGAAACUUGAGUGCAGAAGAGGACAGUGGAACUCCAUGUGUAGCGGUGAAAUGCGUAGAUAUAUGGAAGAACACCAGUGGCGAAGGCGGCUGUCUGGUCUGUAACUGACGCUGAGGCUCGAAAGUAUGGGUAGCAAACAGGAUUAGAUACCCUGGUAGUCCAUACCGUAAACGAUGAAUGCUAAGUGUUGGAGGGUUUCCGCCCUUCAGUGCUGCAGCUAACGCAUUAAGCAUUCCGCCUGGGGAGUACGGCCGCAAGGCUGAAACUCAAAGGAAUUGACGGGGGCCCGCACAAGCGGUGGAGCAUGUGGUUUAAUUCGAAGCUACGCGAAGAACCUUACCAGGUCUUGACAUACUAUGCAAAUCUAAGAGAUUAGACGUUCCCUUCGGGGACAUGGAUACAGGUGGUGCAUGGUUGUCGUCAGCUCGUGUCGUGAGAUGUUGGGUUAAGUCCCGCAACGAGCGCAACCCUUAUUAUCAGUUGCCAGCAUUAAGUUGGGCACUCUGGUGAGACUGCCGGUGACAAACCGGAGGAAGGUGGGGAUGACGUCAAAUCAUCAUGCCCCUUAUGACCUGGGCUACACACGUGCUACAAUGGAUGGUACAACGAGUUGCGAACUCGCGAGAGUAAGCUAAUCUCUUAAAGCCAUUCUCAGUUCGGAUUGUAGGCUGCAACUCGCCUACAUGAAGUCGGAAUCGCUAGUAAUCGCGGAUCAGCAUGCCGCGGUGAAUACGUUCCCGGGCCUUGUACACACCGCCCGUCACACCAUGAGAGUUUGUAACA
rnacentral:rRNA from 2 species